rnacentral:rRNA from 1 species
GACGGAGGGGGGCUAGCGUUGUUCGGAAUUACUGGCGUAAAGGGCGCGUAGGCGGCUCUUUAAGUUAGGCGUGAAAGCCCUGGGCUUAACCUAGGAAUUGCGUUUAAUACUGGAGAGCUAGAGAUUGGUAGAGGGAAAUGGAAUUCCUAGUGUAGAGGUGAAAUUCGUAGAUAUUAGGGAAGAACACCAGAGGCGAAGGCGGUUUCCUGGGACCAACACUGACGCUGAGGCGCGAAGCGUGGGGAGCAAACAGGAUUA